GACGAACGCUGGCGGCGUGCCUAACACAUGCAAGUCGAACGGAGCCGGUCUUGGUGGCAACAUCUUGGCCGGUUUAGUGGCGAACGGGUGAGUAACACGUGAGGAACCUGCCCCGGAGACCGGGAUAACAGGAGGAAACUCCUGCUAAUACUGGAUGUCCCCAUUGGAUCGCAUGGUUUGGUGGGGAAAUGGGUUUCCGCUUCGGGAGGGUCUCGCGGCCUAUCAGCUUGUUGGUGGGGUAAUGGCCUACCAAGGCGUCGACGGGUAGCUGGUCUGAGAGGACGAUCAGCCACACUGGGACUGAGACACGGCCCAGACUCCUACGGGAGGCAGCAGUGGGGAAUCUUGCGCAAUGGGCGAAAGCCUGACGCAGCAACGCCGCGUGCGGGAUGAAGGCCUCGGUUGUAACGACUUCUAGCAGGACGAAGU
rnacentral:rRNA from 1 species